AACGUAGGUACCGAGCGUUAUCCGGAUUUACUGGGCGUAAAGCGCGUUCAGGCGGUCUGGCAAGUCGGGCAUGAAAUCUCUCGGCUCAACCGGGAGGGGUUGUCCGAUACUGCUGGACUUGAGUGCAGGAGAGGGUGGUGGAAUUCCGGGUGUAGUGGUGAAAUGCGUAGAGAUCCGGAGGAACACCAGUGGCGAAGGCGGCCACCUGGCCUGCACCUGACGCUGAAACGCGAAAGCUAGGGGAGCGAACGGG
rnacentral:rRNA from 1 species